AGAGUUUGAUCCUGGCUCAGGAUGAACGCUGGCGGCGUGCUUAACACAUGCAAGUCGAACGAUGAUGCCCACUUGUGGGUGGAUUAGUGGCGAACGGGUGAGUAACACGUGAGUAACCUGCCCUUAACUCUGGGAUAAGCCUGGGAAACUGGGUCUAAUACCGGAUAUGACUCCUCAUCGCAUGGUGGGGGGUGGAAAGCUUUAUUGUGGUUUUGGAUGGACUCGCGGCCUAUCAGCUUGUUGGUGAGGUAAUGGCUCACCAAGGCGACGACGGGUAGCCGGCCUGAGAGGGUGACCGGCCACACUGGGACUGAGAUACGGGCCCGACUCCUACGGGAGGCAGCAGUAGGGAAUAUUGGGCAAUGGAUGCAAGUCUGACCCAGCCAUGCCGCGUGCCGGAUGAAGGCCCUCAGGGUUGUAAACGGCUUUUAUUCGGGAAGAAGAGCGAGGAUGCGUCCUUGUGUGACGGUACCGGAUGAAUAAGCACCGGCUAACUCCGUGCCAGCAGCCGCGGUAAUACGGAGGGUGCGAGCGUUGUCCGGAUUUAUUGGGUUUAAAGGGUGCGUAGGUGGCUGCUUAAGUCAGUGGUGAAAUACAGCCGCUCAACGGUUGAGGUGCCAUUGAUACUGAAUAGCUUGAAAUAAUUGGAGGCUGCCGGAAUGGAUGGUGUAGCGGUGAAAUGCAUAGAUAUCAUCCAGAACACCGAUUGCGAAGCAGGUGGCUACGAUUUAUUUGACACUGAGGCACGAAAGCAUGGGGAGCAAACAGGAUUAGAUACCCUGGUAGUCCAUGCCGUAAACGUUGGGCACUAGUGUGGGGGACAUUCCACGUUUUCCGCGCCGUAGCUAACGCAUUAAGUGCCCCGCCUGGGGAGUACGGCCGCAAGGCUAAAACUCAAAGGAAUUGACGGGGGCCCGCACAAGCGGCGGAGCAUGCGGAUUAAUUCGAUGCAACGCGAAGAACCUUACCAAGGCUUGACAUGAACCGGAAAUACCUGGAAACAGGUGCCCCGCUUGCGGUCGGUUUACAGGUGGUGCAUGGUUGUCGUCAGCUCGUGUCGUGAGAUGUUGGGUUAAGUCCCGCAACGAGCGCAACCCUCGUUCUAUGUUGCCAGCGCGUUAUGGCGGGGACUCAUAGGAGACUGCCGGGGUCAACUCGGAGGAAGGUGGGGACGACGUCAAAUCAUCAUGCCCCUUAUGUCUUGGGCUUCACGCAUGCUACAAUGGCCGGUACAAAGGGUUGCGAUACUGUGAGGUGGAGCUAAUCCCAAAAAGCCGGUCUCAGUUCGGAUUGGGGUCUGCAACUCGACCCCAUGAAGUCGGAGUCGCUAGUAAUCGCAGAUCAGCAACGCUGCGGUGAAUACGUUCCCGGGCCUUGUACACACCGCCCGUCAAGUCACGAAAGUUGGUAACACCCGAAGCCGGUGGCCUAACCCCUUGUGGGAGGGAGCUGUCGAAGGUGGGACUGGCGAUUGGGACUAAGUCGUAACAAGGUAACCGUA
rnacentral:rRNA from 1 species